rnacentral:rRNA from 1 species
UAGGGAAUCUUCCGCAAUGGGCGAAAGCCUGACGGAGCAACGCCGCGUGAGUGAUGAAGGUCUUCGGAUCGUAAAACUCUGUUAUUAGGGAAGAACAAAUGUGUAAGUAACUAUGCACGUCUUGACGGUACCUAAUCAGAAAGCCACGGCUAACUACGUGCCAGCAGCCGCGGUAAUACGUAGGUGGCAAGCGUUAUCCGGAAUUAUUGGGCGUAAAGCGCGUGUAGGCGGUUUUUUAAGUCUGAUGUGAAAGCCCACGGCUCAACCGUGGAGGGUCAUUGGCAACUGGAAAACUUGAGUGCAGAAGAGGAAAGUGGAGUUCCAUGUGUAGCGCUGAAAUGCGCAGAGAUAUGGAGGAACACCAGUGGCGAAAGCGACUUUCUAGUCUGUAACUGACGCUAAUAUGCGAAAGCGUGGGGAUCAAGCAGG